rnacentral:rRNA from 1 species
GAUGAACGCUGACAGAAUGCUUAACACAUGCAAGUCUACCAAGAAUCACUUCGGUGAGGAGUGGUGGCGGACGGGUGAGUAACGCGUAAAUAAUCUGCCCUUUAGACUGGGAUAUCCUUUGGAAACGAAGGUUAAUACCGGAUAUUAUGAGAUGGACGCAUGUUCAACUUAUGAAAGCUAAAUGCAAUAGAGGAGGAGUUUGCGUCCCAUUAGCUAGUUGGUGAGGUAAAGGCUCACCAAGGCCACGAUGGGUAGCCGGCCUGAGAGGGUGAACGGCCACAAGGGAACUGAGAAACGGUCCUUACUCCUACGGGAGGCAGCAGUGGGGAAUAUUGGACAAUGGACCAAAAGUCUGAUCCAGCAAUUCUGUGUGCACGAUGAAGGUCUUCGGAUUGUAAAGUGCUUUCAGUAGGGAAGAAAAAAAUGACGGUACCUACAGAAGAAGCGACGGCUAAAUAUGUGCCAGCAGCCGCCGUAAAAC